UACGUAGGUGGCAAGCGUUGUCCGGAUUUACUGGGUGUAAAGGGAGCGCAGACGGAACUGCAAGUCUGAUGUGAAAGCCCGGGGCUCAACCGCGGGACUGCAUCGGAUACUGUAGAUCUGGAGUGCCGGAGGGGCAAGCGGAAUUCCUGGUGUAGCGGUGAAAUGCGUAGAUAUCAGGAGGAACACCGGCGGCGAAGGCGGCUUGCUGGACGGCAACUGACGUUGAGGCUCGAAAGCGUGGGGAGCAAACAGGAUUAGAUACCCCGGUA
rnacentral:rRNA from 1 species